rnacentral:rRNA from 1 species
AACGCGAAGAACCUUACCAAGGCCUGACAUCCCUUGACAGCCAUAGAAAUAUGGUUUCCCUUCGGGGCAAGGAGACAGGUGGUGCAUGGUUGUCGUCAGCUCGUGCCGUGAGAUGUUGGGUUAAGUCCCGCAACGAGCGCAACCCUUAUCAUUAGUUGCCAGCACUAAAGGUGGGAACUCUAAUGAGACUGCCGGGGAUAACUCGGAGGAAGGUGGGGACGACGUCAAAUCAUCAUGCCCCUUAUGUCUUGGGCUACACACGUGCUACAAUGGCCGGUACAAACCGUCGCAAACCCGCGAGGGGGAGCUAAUCGGAAAAAGCCGGCCCCAGUUCGGAUUGCAGUCUGCAACUCGACUGCAUGAAGCUGGAAUCGCUAGUAAUCGCAGAUCAGAACGCUGCGGUGAAUACGUUCCCGGGUCUUGUACACACGC